AGAGAAUCGUAUGAACCCGGGAGGCUGAGGUUGCAGUGAGCUGAAAUCGCACCACUGCACUGCAGCCUGGGUGACACAG
rnacentral:snRNA from 1 species